CUUGGUCUCGGGGUCCGGCGAGUGUCAACAAAACAUGUCCGCUGGCAGCCUGAGGAGCAUGCUAGCCGGCGUGCUGCGGGGGCGUCCCUGGGCGGUGGGCGGGGCAUGGAGCCAGCAUGGGGCGUUGGGUGCGGUGGGAGGUGUGCGGGGUUACAGCCAGUACCCGCCCACCUUUAUCAAGCCCAUCUACCAACCGGAGAAGCUGAAAGAACUGGAGGAGAGUGAGAUGAUCAAGGAGUUACAGUACCAGCCGGUGAGGGCCGCCUACAACACCCACACCAGUUCUGUUUUCCAUGACCCUCUGCUAAGGAAGUUUACGAAUCACAUCAUGAAGUGCGGAAAUAAGGCCUUGGCGAGGGAGCUUAUGGAGAAGACCCUGGAGGAGAUCAAGCGGACACAGCUGCGACGGCGGAACGAGGCGGAGACGGAGGCGGAGAAGGACGCGGUGGAGUGCAACCCCCUCACGAUCUUCCACCAGGCGGUAGAAAACGGGAGGCCGGUUUUGCAGCUCACCCCGGUCAAAAGGGGGGGCGUGACCUACCAGGUGCCCAUGCCGAUCACAGAGCAGCGAUCGUACUUUGUGUCCAUGCGCUGGUUGAAGGAGGCAGGGAAGGAGAAGGAGAGGACGGUGCCUUUCCCGGAGAAGAUGGCACGGGAACUUCUGCUGGCGGCCAGGAAUGAGGGUCGUGUUGUCAAGAAGAAACAGGAUCUCCACCGCCAGUGUGAGGCCAACCGCGCCUAUGCCCACUACCGCUGGAGCUAAGGGGUAUAUUCUUAAACAGUACAGCGCCCACAUACACAAGACUUUCAGAGGCAUGUUGGGCACUUCCACGUGUAGUUCAGUGACCCGGGUGGUAGUUUAACCCUUCUUCUGUACCGUGAACGUGAAAAAACACUCAUGAAAACGUGAUUAGCCUCCUUACUGGCCUCUGGAAAUAAUUUGUGUGAGAGGUGGAAGUGCUUGGUGAUGUCUUCUUGUAGGAAAUCUACGGUCAAGAGGUUAAGUGUCCCAUCCCUAGCAAUACAGUAUCAACCUUUUGUAUAUACUUCUCAAUCUCCCGACCCAAAAAUACAUAUGCUACAGAUCUUAACUCUAACAUAACUCACCUAAUGAAAGAACAGAAAUGAUUGGCUGUCUCAGAACCUCAUAAUAUUAAGAUUUUGAAGUGUCCCAUCCCAAGCAAUACAAGAUCAACCUUUUGUAUAUAGUUCUUAAUCUCCCGACCCAGAAAUACAUAUGCUACAACCCUGAACUCUAACAUAACUCACCUAAUGAAAGAACAGAAAUGAUUGUCUGUCUCGGAACCUCAUAACAUUAACCCAGUAGCUGCGGGGAUCAUGUUUCUUAAAGGCCCUUCCCUCUAAGCGAGAAAAAUGAGAAAAAAUCAUCACUCACGCAAACCAUUUCAUAAUACAUAUCAAAGCAUUUGUGAUCAGUUUAUGCAUCAUUUAUUUUUGGGGGUUUAUAUAAUGGCAAAAAUUUGGCCUGUCGCUGCUACACGGUAAAGCCACAAAUUUGGCCCGUCGCUGGUACAUGGUAAAGCCACAAAUUUGGCCCGUCGCUGGUACAUGGUAAAGCCACAAAUUUGGCCCAUCACUGGUACACGGUAAAGCCACAAAUUUGGCCCAUCGCUGGUACAUGGUAAAGUCACAAAUUUGGCCCGUCGCUGGUACACGGUAAAGCCACAAAUUUGGCCCAUCGCUGGUACAUGGUAAAGUCACAAAUUUGGCCCGUUGCUGGUACAUGGUAAAGUCACAAAUUUGGCCCGUUGCUGGUACACGGUAAAGCCACAAAUUUGGCCCGUCGCUGGUACACGGCAAAGCCACAAAUUUGGCCCAUCGCUGGUACACGGUAAAGCCACAAAUUUGGCCCGUCGCUGGUACAUGGUAAAGCCACAAAUUUGGCCCGUCGCUGGUACUGGGUUGUCAAGUGUGCCAUUCCUUCCUAUACAACAAGAUCAACCUUUUGUAUAUACUUUUUGAUCCCCUGACCCAAAAAAUACAUAUGCUACAGGCCCUAUCUCUCACCUUAUAAGAGAAUAAGAAGGGACUGCAUCAAGAAACCACAUUACACUUAAGAUUUUCAAGUGUAAGGGUCAUAUUCUGAAACAUUAUGGCGCCCAAGCACGUAUUUGACAAGGCUUUCGUAGGAGUUUGGGGCAUUUCCGGGGGUAGCUUCAUGACCCUGGUGGUAGUUUAACCUUUCCUCUGUACCAUGAUGCUAAACUAUCACUUGUCAGAACCCAACUGAUCUCCGUUUUGGCCUUUGGAAAUAGUUGAUGUCAGAACGGAAAGCAUCUAGAGUCCACCAUCCCCAGCGAUAGUCUUAACCCGGUAGCAGCGAUGGGCCAAAUUUGUACCAUGAUUUAAACCCCCAAAACAGAUGAUACAUGAACUGAUCAGAAAUGCGUUGAUAUAUAUUAUGAAAUGGUUUGUGUGAGUGAUGAUUUUUUCUCGUAUUUCUCGCUGAGAGGGACCAUUAAGAAACAUGAUCCCCACAGCUACCUGGUUAACCUGUAUAUAUUCCUUCCUCUGAACCCAAAACAAACGUGUGCUACUGUGCUUUCUCUGUAAAACUAGGAAUGGGUGUUUACCUAAGAACCCCAAAAUAGUAAGAUGUUUCCAAGUCACACCCACAACAAUACAAUGGUGGGAGAUAUAUAUUUCUUUAUGUAUGUAUUCUUUGAGGUAUUGAUAAAGAGAUACAUGUGCUGGGUAACUCUCUUAUUGCUGUGAGCCUGAGGAGAAAGGGAGGGAGGGAGGGAUGAAUGGGGUUUGUGUGUGUGUGUGUUUCAGUGUCUGUGUGUGGGUGGGUGUUUGUGUGGUGUUGACAGGGGUGGUGAUGAGUGUGUAAGGUGUUGACAGGGGUGGUGAUGAGUGUGUAAGGUGUUGACAGGGGUGGUGAUGAGUGUGUAAGGUGUUGACAGGGGUGGUGAUGAGUGUGUGUGGUGUUGACAGGGGUGGUGAUGAGGGUGUUGGUGUUGAUUGGUAUUGACAGAGGUGGUGAUGAAGGGUUGGUAAGAACUAUACACAUGAAUCAUUAGCACAAAUUGACACACACACACACACACACACAUAACCACAGACUUCAGGAAUCUUCACUGUGUUGGUAACGAUGGCACACAUUUCAACAGGACCAAAAGGAGUGAAGUAAAGAAAUUAAUCAGUGACUUUGCAUGUGAUCUGUAUUUCUAUAAAGUUACUUAAAUUACAUGGUUGCUAUACACACACACACACAAACACACACACUCGGCGCAUAUUGACACAGUGCAUAGCGUGACAAUAUACUAGAUUCAACCUUCCCAGCCAACACUCUUGUCACACCCACACACCCUACGGACACACACACACACACACACACACACCUAUUCUACAGCUCAGCAAGAAACACAAUAUCUGCUUGCCCAUAAGGUGAACUAUUUUAUACUGAUGACAUAGCUUCAGUCACUAGCAACCCAUCCCUUCCACUCUUAACCCCAGACGCUAUGAGGUUUGAGAGAGAUACAGAGAAGGUUGUGAUGGUCUGGACAUGUGGGAAGGGACACAGAGGGUGGAGAGCUGAGGAAACGGUGAUAAAUGAUUGGUUAAGAGAUGUGGCUUGAAGGAGAUACAGGAGGGAGUGAGACAGAGAAGGUUGCAAUGGUUGGGACACGUGAGACGAGAGACAGAGGGCGGAGUGCUGAGGAUGGUGAGGAAAUGGAGGUGUCUGGAGGGAGAGCAAGGAGGACAUGGAGAGGAACACUGACACAAGGCCUGGAGGUGUUAGACAUAGAGGAAGGAGAGAGAGAGACAGGGAAGGUUGCAAUGGUUGGGACAUGUGAGAAGGGAGACAGAGGGUGGAAAUGGAGGUGCCUGAAGGGAGAGCAAGGAGGACAUGGAGAGGAACAGUGACACAUGGCCUGGAGGUGUUGGACAUAGAGGAAGGACCACCACUGGACCCUCGCAAGUCCCACCCCAAGAAUGAGAAGAGAUGGACUGUAAAUGAGGAAGAAGAAGAAUUUAAGUCACGUCAUUAACAAAUACUUAAGCAGAAACGCACUAAAUUUGGGGUUUACUGUACGUUCCUAUAUUCUUUUUAACUUGUAAUCUGUUUCUGUAUAGUAAUUUGUGUGUUUGUUGUACAUAAUGAACUUGGGAACGUGGAAAUGGAGGAAAAAUAUUAAUGAGAAGUUUAGAAAGAGAGGAAAGAGGAAGAAAAUAAAAAAUGAAAGAUGAACUAAUGAAAAAUUAACUAUAAGAAGAACUAAAAAAAGAGUAAAGAGGAAGAAAAUAAAAAAUGAAAGAUGAACUAGAUGAAAAAUUAACAAUAAGAAGAACUAAAAAAAAGAGUAAAGAGGAACAGAAUAAAAAAUGGAAGAUGAACUAGAUGAAAAAUUAACUAUAAGAAGGACUAAAAAAAGAGUAAAGAGGAACAGAAUAAAAAAUGAAAGAUGAACUAGAUGAAAAAUUAACUAUAAGAAGAACUAAAGAAAGAGUAAAGAGGAACA